rnacentral:rRNA from 1 species
GACGAACGCUGGCGGCGGGCUUAACACAUGCAAGUCGAACGGAAAGGCCCUGCUUUUGUGGGGUGCUCGAGUGGCGAACGGGUGAGUAACACGUGAGUAACCUGCCCUUGACUUUGGGAUAACUUCAGGAAACUGGGGCUAAUACCGGAUAGGAGCUCCUGCUGCAUGGUGGGGGUUGGAAAGUUUCGGCGGUUGGGGAUGGACUCGCGGCUUAUCAGCUUGUUGGUGGGGUAGUGGCUUACCAAGGCUUUGACGGGUAGCCGGCCUGAGAGGGUGACCGGCCACAUUGGGACUGAGGUACGGCCCAGACUCCUACGGGAAGCAGCAGUGGGGAAUAUUGCACAAUGGGCGGAAGCCUGAUGCAGCAACGCCGCGUGCGGGAUGACGGCCUUCGGGUUGUAAACCGCUUUCGCCUGUGACGAAGCGUGAGUGACGGUAAUGGGUAAAGAAGCACCGGCUAACUACGUG